rnacentral:rRNA from 1 species
UACGGAAGGGGCUAGCGUUGUUCGGAAUUACUGGGCGUAAAGCGCGCGUAGGCGGCUUUUCAAGUGAGGCGUGAAAGUCCUGGGCUCAACCUGGGGACGGCGCUUCAGACUGUUUGGCUAGAGUCCGGAAGAGGGUGGUGGAAUUCCGAGUGUAGAGGUGAAAUUCGUAGAUAUUCGGAGGAACACCGGUGGCGAAGGCGGCCACCUGGUCCGGUACUGACGCUCAAGUGCGAAAGCGUGGGGAGCAAACAGG